CGGCCAUGACAGUCGGCGACUCACUUUGAAUCACCGGUCUCGACCGGUUACGCCUUCACGAUAUUUCUCUAGUUGAGGAUAUGCAUGUACCGGUGAUAUUUCUAACGCCUUCUCGGCCAUAAAACCAUUUAAACCACGGAAAGGCCGCAAUUGGUGACGAUGCAAAUCAUAUUCUCGGUACCUCGGAGGGAUGACUGCACGUAGAGCGUUAUCCACGGCACGGCUGUGACCACUACUUGUUCCUGUGUCAAGUACUUUGAGAGAAUUGCGAUAACGCCGAGAGAAAUCCGCAAAUACAAGAGAUGGGUUAGCCGCCUAUGAGAAGUUCGUUAAACUAAAUUUUGCCUCGCAAACUCAUCGCAAUGGUGACAAAUUACCCCAGUUAAACAUGCUCGAGGGCUAAAGUGCCUAAAAAUGUUGGCUUUUGCGCAAUAACAAACGCAAGUUAAUGGGACUAGCAAACAAACUGGAAGCAAAAUAUAUGGAACUCAGCUGCAUCUGACAGAACUUUGAUAAAAAUUGAAAUAAUAUGCGACCAGAGAGGUGUCAUCAACAUCAAACUUAUAGCAAAGGUGUUGUGGUCGGUUCACACUGUAAUUUUCCCACAAUAACCUCGGCGUCGAUGUUCAACGGCUUUUGGUUGUCUCCAAUAUGAUUAUAGAAGCAGAAAAAUGUCUACCCCUUAUCAGUUCUUUUGAAUGAAUUGUCACCCACCAAAAUACAUGUAAGGAAAAAAGCAUUUCACCAAUCACCACUGUGGGCACUGGUACAGUUGUUGUGUGAAAGGAAUGACUGAAUUCCCUGAAUUUUAGACUUUUUGACACGGAAAUUACAUACACUUAACAGGAUUGAAGGUCGGACGUUCGAAGAAGCAAACGUUUCGGUAUUGAUUAACCAAGGUAAUGAGAUACCAAUGCUCGGACCAGCCUGAUGCGCGAGUUGAUGGCGACAGGACGGCUGGCUGCUCUACCUGUUGGAUGAACGUGUCGAGACCGAUCGAAUGACUCUGAGACGGGGUUCUUUUCCUACAAAACGUGUCAGAGUCAUUAACAACAUAAUUGGUUGAUCAAUCACUGAAUUUGGCGCCAUACAUUCGGAACAACUGCUUUCAAAAACGAAUCUGGUGUCGGCAUGCAGGGUUGGUGAACGCUGUCUGGUAUUCGCUCAUCUGUGCCUUAUAAGCACCUCGGAAUUGAUCAGAGGUAAAAACCUUGGUGACCUGGUUUCUUUCAACUAUAAGAAAUCAGAUACUCCAUAAAGGAAACGGCUUGGUGGUUUGCAACAUAAAAUGGUUUUCCAUACCUCGGUCAGAGUGGCGCGAGCAAUCUCAUCGAACUGAUAUACGCAAUAACACAAAUUUUCUCAAGAGAUUUGCUUUAUUUGCUAACUACCUUUUAUUUCAUCUGCCGGCACGGUCUUGUUCCACGGAAAGGCUCCGUAACGUCUUGACACCACGGAACAAGAUCUCGAUACGAGGUUUCUCUAGUACUUGAAUACAUCGAUUGUGAGUAGGCGCCGGAUAUGUUUCAAUGAUUAGAUGCUACUGGCAAAAAUCAAACAAAUGGUGUGUUGCAAUUAAACAGUAAUCAGUAAACUUGCCAGUUCGUGCUACCUUAGACCAAGAUAUAUGGCAACACGAUUGAGUCAUUCAUCUUGAGCAUGUUGAGAUCAUUAUUCUGAUGUCGGUUCCAUGACCAGAUAUCCACUUCUUCGGAGGAGACAGCAAUCAACUAACGCCAGUAAUGAGUAUCGGAUAAUUGCUUUUUGCCUAGGGUACAAUAACAAAACUUUUCUGAGACAGGCUCUUCUUUUUGUGAUAUCAUUCUUGGUUACUCUAAGUUCUCAGCUAUAGUUGUGAAUUGUGUAGUGUAAAAAGCCCAGAUGGUACCACUAAAGUGUAUUGAUCUAUUUGUGAUAAUGAUCUACGAAGUGAGUUUAAGGAUCAAACCCAGGUCAGAUGGUAUGAAAAGGGCCCAGAUAAGAAAAAGGGUUCUCACGAUAUUGAACAGAUUAUAGAUGUCAAGAUACAGCCUUGCAACGUUCAAGUAAACCCCCAGGAUUGACACUCAAGAUCGACUCCGAACAAAAAUGACAACCGUGUAUGCUACGUACUGGACGAGAGAGAAAGAUUGACGAGGUACUGUCCGAAUUUCUGAGAUGUUGACACUACUUGGCUCCAUUCUGUAAGAACCAUCAUGACUAUCAUUGCUUGUACCUCUGCAAUCACGGAAGAAAGUGUUAACUGUCCCACGUCCCACUUGCUUCUUCCAGGGAAGCAAUACCCUCACCUUUCUCGACACAAGAGGACCGGCGAAAUCUCCCAACCACGCACGAAGAUAAUUAACCACCGUUUUAUGGUAGUAAGAGUUGCAAUAAUUGAGAGGUUUCAAUCUCGCGCUGCAGGAAGCCUGUCAGCAGAGAUCAAAUGCCGGACCGGAAGUCCGUAGUGGAUGACCAUGCAAGAUGGCCGUCAGUCUGACCUCCGGUAUAUACCUGUCUGACAGAAGUUGGCUACAUCGUGAUGUUACAUCCGGAAUGUAAGGGCUGGGCAGUCUAAACCCACAAAAACCGGAAGCGGUGGAAGAUGGACACUUACCGGUCAUAUUCACUGCUCAAAAUAUAGAGCUUGCGAAAUGGAACCUUGCGUGCUCACUUUUAGUAAAUAAAGCGGCCGAGCGCAAUUUCAACAUCUUUUCGCGAUUUUUGAUAAAUUUCUGUUUAAACAACAUGCCUGUUUAUUGGGAGUUUUUUCGUCUGCAUUCGGUGUACCAGCCAUAAUGGAUGUUGUCGCUGAAGACUUUGUAUCUCGGCAAUUUUACAUAAUGGAAAGAUGACUGGAGAUUAAAAUACACGAUAGCCGAAUACUCUAAUUGACUUUCUUUUUAAGUUUUCUUGAGUAAAUCUGUCCAAUCUGGUUUGGGAAGUAAACCACCCACCCACUUGUUUACGCCUUCCUGUUUCAUGUGCCACGGGCAUCGCACUGAAAUUUGACGCUCCGUAUCAAGUAAUCCAGAAAUGAAAUAAAGAUGGUCUAAUGAAAAAAUUCCUUCUUGCGCGAAUU